rnacentral:misc_RNA from 1 species
CGUCGUUGAUUAGAGGCGUCAAUAAGGCUGGGAAGUGUAUUUACGGCGGGGAUUUCGGGAUUUGAAGUCCUGGGCGGGAGGCCUCGACUUGACACAUCAAAGCCAUGGAUUUUCUGGUUAAUAAACUGCGCGAAAAAUCCUCCCAAAGUGACAGUUCGGAGGAGAAGGCGACGGCAAGGUUGCGAAUUCGUCGGUGUGCUUGGAAAAAGGGUUAAUUGUGCGUGGAAAAGGGAAUUGUAGUCGUGCCACUCCCAUCGUCGUAUCGAUACAUAUAUAGGUUGUAAUGAUGGAUACCUUCGACUUCGUAAUCCCCCUGAGCCUUGACGCCCUGCAGGAGUCGACCAGCACGCGGCAGUACGUCGUGUAUAACAUCUCCACAAGCAAGGAGAUCCCCAAAAAGAUUCAGGAAGCACAAGUGGCCUUCCGUCAAGAUGGCCCGCAUUUCAUCAUCAAGGCACAGAACUUUGACGUGCUGUAUAGUGUCCUGGUUAGCUUUGGCAGCGUGGAUGGAGAGUUUCGGCAGCGCUCGUGGGAGCUCCUCCUUAAAGCGAUGUCCAAGGUAACGGCUGAAUUGGCACUGCUUCUGGACGAGGGGGACCUGAGCGCCAAGGAACGACAUCAAUGGCUCAAUGUCCUCAAGAUGACCACGUACAUUGCCUGCAACCUCACUGAAUCCUUCGAGAAUGAGUACAACAAACCCUCCACUGACACCCUGGUUUUAGGGAAGCAGGGAAGGAAGAAGUCGGCAAGGAAGUCCGAUGACGGGACGGACUGGGAGGAGGAGAGGAACCGCAUGCUGGUCCAGCUGUUCUCUGUCCUGCAGCACCCUUUGCACCGCCUGUGGGAGCCACCCAUUAUGGAGGAGGAUUUUGUCAACCUCAUAGCCAACUGUUGCUACAAGAUUCUGGAGUCCCCCACCAUGAACUUGGCAAGGACCAAGUCGACACGAGACUCAAUAUUCCAGAUCAUCGGCACACUCGUCAAGAAGUUCAACCAUGGUCUUGCUUGUUCACUAAAGCUCAUGCAGCUGUUGCAGCACUUUGAGCACAUGGUUGUCCCGUGUGCCCAGGGUGUGAUCCUUCUGAUCGAGUCCUUUGGCAACACCACAGUCGUGUCAGAGAUGGUGAGGGAGAUCGCGAAGGUGGACGCACGAGAGCUCAUGAAGGAUACUUCGGGCUUGCGUAACUUCUCCCAGUUCCUGGUGGAGGUAUCGGAGAAGUGCCCCCAGGUCAUGCUGCCCUCACUCAGCCUGCUCGUUAACUUCCUGCAUGAGGAGGCAUCGGGCAUGAGGAAUUGCGUGCUGUCCAUCCUGGGUUCCAUUGUGUUGAGGGUCCUGAGCAGUGAGCAGCUGGACCCUAAGAGCCGAGACCUGCGCGACCAGUGUCUCGACCACCUCGAGGACCACAUCCACGACAUUCAUGCCUUUGUGCGCAGUAAAGUCUUACACAUCUGGAACGGCCUUGUGAGUGAAAAGGCUGUACCCCUGCGCAGACAGCAGCAGGUCCUGAAGCUCACCCUAGGGCGCCUGAAGGACAAGUCAUCGCAUGUGAGGAAGAGCGCAGUUCAGUUGCUGACUGCUUUCCUGAAGGGCAACCCAUUUGCAGCAAAGCUCCCCCUGGAAGAACUGGAAGGCCAACAUGAAGAAGAGCUCAAGAAACUAAAGGAAAUGGACCCUAAGGCUGCUUUGGACUUGUCAGCAGAAGAGGAAAAUAAACCGCAGGUAGAAAAGACCGUCACUGGAAGGGAGCUGUGGGCUGCCAUGUUGCCUGAGGUGGUCGCCAUUGUUUUGGAAGUUGUUGAUGAAGGUGGCACUGAGGACGAUGAUGAUGAUGAAGACUCCUUAGAGGAAGAUGCCUCACUAAAUGAUGCAGUUUUGGAGAUUGCAGAGGCUUUGAACUCCAGCAAGAUCAGAAGAGCUGUCAAACUGCUGGAGUGCGCCCUAGAAAUGUUUCACGGGGCUGAAGUGUUUGGCUAUGAUCCCGAGAUCCAUUCCUCCAAAGCGUACAAAAAGCUGAGCAAGGAUGAGGAGCUGACGGACCACCAGAUCCGCCACCUGGUCGUGCUGGAGCGCAUCUUCCUGUCUGCCAAGGAGAUGGAGGAGAGCAAAAACAGGCCAGCUGAGGAGGAGAAGAUGGAUGAGGACAAGAAGCCUGAGGAGGAGGGGGAGGAGGAGAAAGAGGAGACGGAGGAAAUGAGGGCAGAGAAGGAGGCCCAGGCAGAGGUGACCAAGCAGAAGCUCUUGGUCAACUACUUGAAGGAUUCUGUUUGUUUUGCUAAACUGUUCAACAAAGGCUUGCCAGUUCUCUGCCAGCUGCUGAGCAGCAAACAUGUAUCAGAUGUGUUAGAAGCAGUACAAUUCUUCGUAACAGCCUUUGAGUUUGGCCUUCUUAAUGCCAUGACCGGUGUGCGUCGCAUGUUGGCCCUGGUGUGGAGCAAGGAGCAGGCUGUCAAGGACGCAGUUAUUGGGGCUUAUCAGCGCCUGUACAUUAACAUUGAAGCUCCAAAUGAAAGGGCCCGUGCUCAACACAUUGUAAGGAACCUCUCAGCCCUUAUUACCGGUGCAACCCUAGGCGAGAGGACAUCCAUGGAGGAAAUUAUAGCACAGUUUGUGAAUUCCGGUGACAUUACUAAGCAGUGCCUAACCUUGCUUUGGGAACGCUUCACCAAGACCCUGCCUGACACCACAGAUGAUGAGUCACUGGCAGGACUCGUUCUCCUCGCCAUGUGUGCCAACUCAGAAGCGCACAUUGUCUCGAGCAACAUUGGGGUCCUGGUGAACUCUGGCCUGGGCGAGAGAGGCCUGCACAACUUCACUCUUGUCAAGGAGACCUGCACUGCCUUGUUGAAGCUAUCCCCAGCCAAGCCAAAAACGGAUGACCCAAAUCCACCCAACAGGUUUAACCGAGACCACGAGAUCUUCGAGCGCCUUACCAAGAUCUUGCUGGAAGGUCUGAACAUCCUCGAAGAUCGUCAGUAUUCUCCCAUGGCUGUUGAGGCCGUUAGUCUGAUUUAUUCGUUGGCAGAACAUCCUGACCUCAUCUGCGGAGAGAUUCUUCAAGAGAUGAGCAAGAUCAUGCUUUCACAUCACACAGAAGCAGCAGACUCAGCAAGUGAUGGCUCUCAGCCAGAGACUGAAGAUAUCAAGGUCCCCGUAGGCAUCCUGACACGAUUCUUCGUGUUUGUGGGCCAAGUGGCUCUGCGUCAGCUGAUUCACCUCGACACCUAUGUGUUCUCUGAGCUGAAGCGCAGAAAUUACCUCAAAGAGGAGAUGGAAACAGAGAAGAAAAAGAAAAAGAAGAAAAGGAACAUAAGGAAAUCACUAGCCACCUCUGCUACUGAGGCUUCCAUGAUCAGAGGGGGAUCCCAAGAUGGAGACAUGGACGAGGAGAUGGGCCUGACUGGGGCAGUGGCAGACGACAUGGAGGCAGAGUACAUCCGCUCCAUCUGCGAGACAGAGAUCGUUAAAGCUGACAACCUCCUCGCUCUUGUCAAGCCAGUUAUUUUGGCUGUAUGCACCAACCCGGCAAAGUACGCAGAUGCAGAGCUACGGACGGCUUCAACCCUAGCCCUGGCCAAGUUCAUGAUGAUAUCUUCAGACUUAUGCGAAGAUAAUCUGCAGCUCCUGUUCACCAUCUUGGAGAAGUCCGAAGAUCAUGCGAUACGUGCCAACAUAGUCAUUGCCCUGGGAGACUUGUCCUUCCGGUUCCCGAACCAGCUAGAGCCUUGGACCCCACGAAUCUAUGCCAGAUUAAGAGACGGUUCCCCGAAAGUGCGACAGAACACCCUGACAAUCCUCACCCAUCUCAUCCUUAAUGAUAUGGUCAAGGUUAAAGGACAGAUAUCUGACAUUGCUCUCUGCAUCACCGAUGACGAUCCACGGAUAUCAGGUUUGGCAAAACUUUUCUUCAGUGAGCUUGCCAGGAAGGGCAAUGCCUUGUAUAACGUUCUCCCCGACAUCAUCUCGCGCUUGUCUGACACGGAACUAGGAAUUGAAGAGAAACGCUACAGAACAAUCAUUGGGCACAUACUGAACUUGGUACAAAAGGACAAACAGCUGGAAACAUUAGUGGAGAAGCUUUGCCAUCGAUUCCAAGCAACCGUCACCACAAGACAGUGGAGAGACAUUUCCUACUGCCUGUCACUGUUCUCAUACAAUGAGAAGAGCAUCAGAAAGCUCAGCGAGAACUUCUCGUGCUAUGCUGACAAGCUCUUCGAGCCAGAAGUGUACGAGUUCUUCCUGGGCAUCCUUGCCAGUGCCCGCAAACUGGUCAAGCCAGAGAUGAAAGUCCUGAUCGAGGAGUUGGAGAGUAGGAUGCAGGAGAGCCACGAGAAGGGCGUGGAAGACGAGAAUGUCCUCAACAAAGCUGCCAGCGCCAAGACGAAGGCGAAGAAUGUGAAAAACUCAGAGAAAGGGGCCAAAGGCAGAAUAAGAGGCAGAAGACGCAAAGAGAGUUCCAGCGAAGAUGAAGAAAAAACUGAAGAGGAAGAGGAAGAGGACGAGGGGGAGGAGGAGGAAGAGGCAGAGGAAACUCGCUCACAGUUACACCCAGCUCACCGUCAGAAUAAGGAAAAUCAGAGAAUGACAAGACGAUCAGGCAACAUGGAGAAGCCGCACAAGAAGAAAGUCACCAUCAGCACCGACUCAGACGAAGACGACAGCAAGGUCUCGACUCCACCCAAGAGGAAGUCAGGGAGAAUGUCCCAUGUGAAGCCGCUCUCGGAAAACUCUUCCCGACUCUCGAGGUCCUCCAGACGGAAAUGAUGGGACUGAAGACAUAGAUGCUUGUUCUCUUUUAGGCUUUGGGGUUUUAGGAAAUUAUCGCAGAGAUUUUUAUUUUUCAAUUUACUUUUUUUAUCCCAGUCUGUAGGAAAUUAAUGGCUCUUCUCUAGGGACUUAAAACAGAAAGUACAAUGAUAUAUUUGGAGGAUUUUAAUAAGGUAUCAUUUUAGUCUGUGUAUUGCUUCUAAUAUUAGCCAGUAAGGUAUUGCAGCAAAAGAAUUAAGAUGGUGUUAUUAGUGAUCAGAAUUCUCAAGAUAUUCAUAAUAUGCUGUAUCAGCAAAACAUAAUGGGGAAAGUUCACAUUUUCUCUUUGUACAACAAUUAUAACAUGUAGUACAUGUACCCACCCAAAUGUGUGCUAUUCCAUAAGAUUAUUUUUUAAUUGAUUUUAACUUGAACAAAAGACUUAAGAAGGUAACAUGAAUAUACAAGUAUAUGGCUGAUUUCUUUUCAUUCAUAAAUAUGCUUCAUCUUGAGUGAAUGAACUGAUAAUAGUGUUCUUGACUUUGCUAUCCUUCAUAAAUACAUAUUUACAUAUAAUAUAAGAUAUUCUUUUAGGGAUAGUAAUAAUUCAUCUUUAAUAAUGGCAAUAUAUGGAAGGGUUUAGUAAGUAUUUUGUAAAAGUAACCUACUCAAUAAACUGUAUUUUCAAAAAUCAGUGGACACUUGUUUACACUAUUCAGCAUUUAUUAGGAUUUAGCUUAAUUUUAAUUAUUUUUUUAUUUUAUUUUUUUUUUAAUUUUUCUAAUUAUCAUUGCUUAUGUAACCCUUCCUUGAAUAUCCUGGUCAUCACACCAGUUGAUCUCCUUAGUUUUCUGCCUUGAACAAAGGGAUGUGUGUUUUUCUUUUCAUCCAUUGUAUUUACAGAAUCAGAGUCUAAGAGUCUAAACACGUGUCCAGAGGCAAGGGCAUGAUUAGUGUACAAGAGAUGCGAUAUCCAAGAUGGCCAAGCUAUCGACAAAACAAUAAAUUUCAAACUGCUAUUGUUUAGCUAGGAAUAUGUCCACUUUUGACAUCACAUCUGCAUGUCCACUGGUCAGGGCUGCUGAACUGGACAUGCCUGAACACUUAAUUUCUCCAUUGUGAUGGUAGAAAACUAUAAAAUAAUGUACUUGUCUUGUUAAGGCUUGCAUAUUCUGUUAUAAGAGGCAUAUAUUCAGAUAUAUGGGAAGGUCAUGUGAAAUUAGAUUUCCAGUAGCCAUAUUACCACUGUAAAUAAAAUGUGUAGUCUAAA